UGGACAUACUGGAGGUAGUCCAGCGAAGGGCCACAAAGAUGAUUAUGGGACUGGAACAUCUCUUCUAUGAGGAGAGGCUGUGAGACCUGGGACUGUUUAGCCUGGAGAAGAGAAGGCUCAGUGUGGG